rnacentral:rRNA from 1 species
CCUACGGGAGGCAGCAGUGAGGAAUAUUGGUCAAUGGUCGCGAGCCUGAACCAGCCAAGCCGCGUGAGGGAAGACGGUCCAAUGGAUCGUAAACCUCUUUUGUCAGGGAACAAAAACUGCCACGCGUCGCCGUCUGAGUGUACCUGAAGAAAAAGCAUCGGCUAACUCCGUGCCAGCAGCCGCGGUAAUACGGAGGAUGCGAGCGUUAUCCGGAUUUAUUGGGUUUAAAGGGUGCGCAGGCGGAAGAUCAAGUCAGCGGUAAAAUUGAGGGGCUCAACCUCUUCGAGCCGUUGAAACUGGUAGUCUUGAGUGGGAGAGAAGUAUGCGGAAUGCGCGGUGUAGCGGUGAAAUGCAUAGAUAUCGCGCAGAACUCCGAUUGCGAAGGCAGCAUGCCGGCGCUCAACUGACGCUGAUGCACGAAAGUGUGGGUAUCGAACAGGAUUAGAUACCCCGGUAGUC